AUAAUGACGAGAUGUGAUGAGAGCUUUUUGGGAUCAAGUACAUAUUAAAGCAGUUGUGCUAAUCUCAUAACAACAAAUUCUUUAUUGCCAAACGUUUUUGACUUACAUAAUGUCAUCUUCAGGGCUUCUGAAUAACAGCUAAGAACAUUCAAAUUUAAUAAUUCUAGAAUAUACAAAAUUUUGAAAAACACUUAGCAACGUUUCCAAGGUAACUUCCCAAAAAUUAACAUCAGCGGCAAAAGACAAUAUUCACAAACUUUAAAGCAAAAACAAUAAAAUACUAUAAUAAUAUAAGUUCAUAACCCUGUUUAACCCACUUGCAUAUAUGCGGCUGUCUUUAUUUUAUUUUAUUUUCAACCCGAAUCAUGAAACUGUCGUCCAGCAGUCUUGCUUAUAUGUUUCUGUACCAUAUAUUUCCAGGCAUCUGAGAUUUCUAACGAUGUUUUUUCAUUUAACACUGUACCCUCUCCUUUGGCUUUCAAAAUUUCCAAACUCUCCGCCAUUAGUGCAUGCGAUGCUUUUGCUAUCGGUCAUAUAAUCUUCGCCUCUUCCCGACCUAUCUCUACUUGUGAGGCAUACACUACUUCCG
rnacentral:lncRNA from 1 species